CGAGCUCUCCGCACACGCCGGCACUCUGAGCUCUUUGUCGUCCGCUCCCUUUGAUAGUGGCUGCGCGUCAGAAAUGGGAUUUGCAGAGCUCAUCAUGUGCGGCUCUCAAACCACACACGUACAGAUUGGGUGCCUGCGAGUUCAAGGCAGAACCUGAAUCGUGUUUCCAAAACAAGAUCGGCUCAGACUUUGUCCCAAACAAAGGGAAACGCAAAGUGCAAGAGGAGCACACCUCUGGCACAUAACCUGCCAGGAAUUACAGACCCCCAUCUCCAAUAAAUCCAUUAACACCUUUAUGGAUGUCACUGUUCUGGACACUUCCACUGUCUGGAACUUCAGAGGCAGCAAAGAUUAAAUCACCACCUAAACCACCACCUCUCUAAUCCUGCACUUUAACUAACUUGAAAAGCUCAGCAGCUGUAAAGGCUCUGUGACACACGUUAAUAAUUAUUAGACACGGUAGCCAUCCCGGCACAAUUCCUGCAUGAUAAGGAGCCACGGGACGCUGUGGGAGAGCUUAGUUUGCAUGAGCUGCGCCUCCUUAUUAACUGCCAUAAGCUUCACAGUGGGAAACUCGGAAUUACAUCUGGCCCGGGGGCUGUGCUCCAUGAGGGCUGGUGCUUUCCAUUUGGAAUUACAGUGUUUGUCUAGUCACUGCUGGAUACUUAAGCCGAUGAGCAAUGAUACACUUAAAAUCAAAUAUUUGAGCAGUCAAAAGUACCAAUAGCAGUCAAAUAUUUGACUUUGAAGAUAAGGGUGACCUUGCUAACACUGUUCUCCGUGGUUCUUGUGUCCUACACCGAGUGCAAGGAGAGCCCUGAGCAGAGGACAAAAGAUGUUCAAAUAACAAUAGCGAAAUUCACUCUUUGCUUUCCAUUUCAGUAGAGAGGAAAGAACCUUAUGAAACAUGUAAGUACAUAAUGGCAGGGAGUUUAGCUCUGCUCCUCAGGUGUAGUAAUUUACUGAAUCACCAGUGAAACUGCAGCGCUCCCAUCCCACAUUGCCGAUGCAAGUCUCUUGUCAC